rnacentral:lncRNA from 1 species
GCCAACGCCCCACUGCACUCUAGCUUGGGCGACAAAGCGAGACUCUUGUCUCAAAAAAAAAGUUGCAUCCUAAAGUUGAUUUACUCCAGCAUUCGUUAAAGUGGUGUCAGGGAGUGUUUUAUACUCCCUAACUACCUAUGUUUAGUUGACCCAAAUAACUCUUUAGGGCCCAUUUCUCAUGGCAGGCAGUAUAAUGGUGGUUAAGAACAGGAGCUCUGGGAUUAGAAUCUCAACAGUAACUACAAAUUUAAAUUCGCUGUGAACAUUAAAUGAGAUUAGCCAAGAAAAGUGAAGACAACUGGAAAAGCAUUGCAGUGACCUAAGGCAAAACAAACAAUCUAAUAUAUAUGUCAUUGGAGUCCCAGAUAAACAAUGGAAAACUGGGAAAGAAAAUAAAAUGUGAAGAAAUUAGGGUUGAUAAUCAGCAAAUUUGGAGAAAUACAACUUACAGAUGCAAGAAGGUCAGCAAACCUCCAAAGAGAAUAAAUGCAAAGAAAUUUACAGAGCAAAUUCUUGGAAGCAGUCCUUGUUACAAUGUGACAAAUUUCCAAUUCAAAUAAUUUUUUUUUUCUAAAGCAUACUACCUUUAAG